UGAUCUCAUCAAUCUAGCGGGAGAGACAGGAUAACCUGUCCGAGAGUAUAGCGCCACUAUGACUCCGCCGGAAAAAUUACUUUAAAAAUCGCCAAAAAUUACUUGGAGCAAAGGGCAGUCGGCGGAGCUUCGCCAAGGCUGGCGCAGUCGGUUUUGACCUGUAGCAGAGAACCAAUUCUGGAGAACAGCCUCACUUCUUUGAUUGAAUACUUACAUAAUGCAUUGGAACAUGACAUGAGAUUAAGUGUAUAAAGCCAAAUGUCCCAUUUAAAGUUUGACAUUUGCAAUAGCAUUCUAUUUAAAAGGUUUAAUAAUGAUAGAAUGAAGACCACAAUAAAAGAGACCUCUACUUAGCUCAGCAAUUCUUACCUUUCUUACCUAUUUGAUGAAGAUGUCUUUUGAAAGGUGUACUGCAAGGAACAAAAUGUUUGUAAAUUCUCCUUUUACCAAGGUGGAUAAUUACUGUACCUUCCUCAUGGAAAAAGUUUUAUUUAAAGUGUUAUUUCUCAUUGAAUACUAUCAAAAAGGAAAAAAAAAUGACCUAAACUUUUGAGAUAGAUUUGGCUCUAGUAAGUAUUUAGUUAUAUCACUUGCAUAUCUGGGAGAAGAAAUAAGAGACUAUCAUCAGUACAUUCCCAUCUACUAAAAAAAUUUAUUUUACACAUGUCAAGGGAUUACUUAUAACUUCCAUUUUAUUACUAAUAG
rnacentral:lncRNA from 1 species